rnacentral:rRNA from 1 species
GAGUUUGAUCGUGGCUCAGAUUGAACGCUGGCGGCAUGCCUUACACAUGCAAGUCGAACGGCAGCACGGGAGCUUGCUCCUGGUGGCGAGUGGCGAACGGGUGAGUAAUGCAUCGGAACGUAUCCUGGAGUGGGGGAUAACGUAGCGAAAGUUACGCUAAUACCGCAUAUUCUGUGAGCAGGAAAGCGGGGGGACCUUCGGGCCUCGCGUCCUUGGAGCGGCCGAUGUCGGAUUAGCUAGUUGGUGAGGUAAAGGCUCACCAAGGCGACGAUCCGUAGCAGGUCUGAGAGGAUGAUCUGCCACACUGGAACUGAGACACGGUCCAGACUCCUACGGGAGGCAGCAGUGGGGAUUUUGGACAAUGGGGGCAACCCUGAUCCAGCCAUGCCGCGUGAGUGAAGAAGGCC